rnacentral:rRNA from 1 species
GGGCCCGCACAAGCGGUGGAGCAUGUGGUUUAAUUCGAUGAUACGCGAGGAACCUUACCAGGGCUUAAAUGUAGUGGGACAGGUCUAGAGAUAGACCCUUCUUCGGACUCAUUACAAGGUGCUGCAUGGUUGUCGUCAGCUCGUGCCGUGAGGUGUCAGGUUAAGUCCUAUAACGAGCGCAACCCCUAUCGUUAGUUGCCAGCGAGUAAUGUCGGGAACUCUAACGAAACUGCCAGUGCAAACUGUGAGGAAGGUGGGGAUGACGUCAAAUCAUCACGGCCCUUACAGGUAGGGCUACACACGUGCUACAAUGGGCAGUACAAAGGGUUGCGAAGCCGCGAGGUGGAGCUAAUCCCAUAAAGCUGUUCUCAGUCCGGAUUGGAGCCUGCAACUCGGCUCCAUGAAGUCGGAAUC